UACGUAGGGUGCAAGCGUUAAUCGGAAUUACUGGGCGUAAAGCGUGCGCAGGCGGUUUUGUAAGUCUGACGUGAAAUCCCCGGGCUUAACCUGGGAAUUGCGUUGGAGACUGCAAGGCUAGAGUCUGGCAGAGGGGGGUAGAAUUCCACGUGUAGCAGUGAAAUGCGUAGAGAUGUGGAGGAAUACCGAUGGCGAAGGCAGCCCCCUGGGUCGAUACUGACGCUCAUGCACGAAAGCGUGGGGAGCAAACAGG
rnacentral:rRNA from 1 species